AGUGAACGCUGGCGGUAGGCCUAACACAUGCAAGUCGAACGGCAGCACAGUAAGAGCUUGCUCUUACGGGUGGCGAGUGGCGGACGGGUGAGGAAUACAUCGGAAUCUACUUUUUCGGGGGGGAUAACGGAGGGAAACUUACGCUAAUACCGCAUACGACCUACGGGUGAAAGCAGGGGAUCUUCGGACCUUGCGCGAUUGAAUGAGCCGAUGUCGGAUUAGCUAGUUGGCGGGGUAAAGGCCCACCAAGGCGACGAUCCGUAGCUGGUCUGAGAGGAUGAUCAGCCACACUGGAACUGAGACACGGUCCAGACUCCUACGGGAGGCAGCAGUGGGGAAUAUUGGACAAUGGGCGCAAGCCUGAUCCAGCCAUACCGCGUGAGUGAAGAAGGCCUUCGGGUUGUAAAGCCCUUUUGUUGGGAAAGAAAAGCAGCAGGUUAAUACCCCGCUGUUCUGACGGUACCCAAAGAAUAAGCACCGGCUAACUUCGUG
rnacentral:rRNA from 1 species